UUAAAUUUUCUACAUGUGCAUAUUUUUUAUUUUAUUUUUUUGCAAUUAAUUUGUUGAAAAACAAAAAUUCAAAAAUUGUUAAAUGUCUGCUAUUUUCAGGAUCAUGCUGCAUUCACACUCAUGACUCUGAUUAAAAUCUUAAAAUUAUUGAAAGAUGGCAGGAAAAUACAAAAUUUAGAUUUAACUCCAGCCUCGAGUAAAACUGACAAGAAAUUUCUGAUAUAUUUAUAAAUCUAUGCAAAAUUUUUUUGUGAAUAAGUUGAAGAACAUAUAUGUGUAUAAAUAUAUAUGAAACUGGACCUUGAAAACAAUGAAUCAUUUAAAUGCACAAUUGUAGUUUAAAAGAAGCCGCGUCAAUGCACUUUAUCAUCAAUAAUACGAUAGUAUAAAUUUUUCUAUUAUUAUUUAAUAUUUAUUUAUUUAAUAAAAAUAAUAAACAUAUAAAUUAAUACGAUUAUUAAUUUAGAGAUGAAUACGAGAAUUCAAAUGCAAAUUUUCAUACAGGAUUUCAGAGGAUGAAUCUAGAGUUGAAUGUCUUUAUUCUGCGUGUUCACUAGUUUCUGGAGGUCCACUUUACUUGAGAAAUAUUUAUUACGAUCACGAAUAAAAUUUGGUUAAUUUAGUGGUCAAAUUAAUAACCGUGAGCUUUUGAAUAUUUUGUGUAUAGUCAACAACCCAUGGUCGAGUUAAGGUAGACAGCAGGUUGGGGACAGGGGUUGCGAUAAAAGCCAGUGUAGGGAUGAAAAGAGAGAAAGAGGAGGAGAGAAAUGAAAGAAGAAAGAGAAAGAAGGGUUUGAUUGAGAAGAGAUCUGUCAAUUGCAGUGUCUGUAGACAAAGUUUACAUAACUGUAUUGGGUCAAAUUGUUGAAUGGCUCGUGCCCGCUAUCUGUUACAAUAUUAUGUAAUAUAAUAUAUUAAAUAUGUAUACAUCGAUAUAUAAUUGUAUAGAUUAACUGACAGCGAUACAUCUCAAUUGAUAAUUAAUUACCCAGGGUUUUGUUUAAAAUAUUAAUAGAUUCACUAGAAAUUGAGGAUGAACAGGACUCGGAUACUGAGUUUAACUUGAAUAAGAUUAUUUAUUUUAUUGUUUGUUUUUUUAAUUAUUAUUUUUUUUAAUAAGCCUUGAAUAGCGACACGGCUCAAUGAACAAUCUGACGUUGAGACAACAAAUUAACUGCCAAUUAUUGCUGUCGCGAACACAGCGGAUACUCUGAGUAUCGCCUCGUAUACUAAUUGUGAGAUAAAGAUGACCUAAGACGAGGGUUAAUUCGCGAUAUUUAUUUAGCCGUUGAAUCGAUAAAAUAAUUAGUUACAUAUUUUUGUAUUCUAUGGAGUAUAAAAUAAAAAUUAGAUAAAUAAAUAAAUGAAUGUUGGAAUGUGAUAACCUGCGACCACAAACUGACCGGUAUCAAUUUACCAAUCACAUGCUACUGUUGAUAGAGAAAACCUCGGAGAAUUCAGACGGGAUAAAAGUUAAGACAGAAUAAGAUUAUAAUCAUCUGAGAUAAUUCAAGUUUCAAAUUUCACGGGUUUAUUUUUAUUUGUAAAAUGAUAUUUAAAUAGUUAACAUUAAUCAUUAAUUAAAUAAUGUUAAUAUUAAUUUUAUAAAUUAAAUAAAAUAAAUUUAAAGGCUUAUUGCAUGUAUUGAAUAUAUUAUAUUUAGCAAUUAAUUAAAUUAAAUUAAAUUAACAAGACACAGAGGAUGACGUAGAGGGAUGACUGAUGCGCAUUUAUGGAAAGGGAGAAGCGUCAGUGAGCAGUGACUUCAAACGAUUGUACACUGCACCUCAAUAAUGAUGAUUGGGAUAAGUCCAUGAGGUAAACGGUUGCAUCAACUACCAUCACUACAAUAUAUCUCCCCCGAUUAGUUUGAUUAACGUUAAUUAAUACCGUCAAAAUGCACAACGUAAAUUAAUCCGAUAUGUGACCUCGAUUGAUUAUAUUAUUUAAAAUUUUCCUAUAUCAUUUUAUU